AGUGAACGCUGGCGGUAGGCCCAACACAUGCAAGUCGAACGGCAGCACAGGAGAGCUUGCUCUCUGGGUGGCGAGUGGCGGACGGGUGAGGAAUACAUCAGAAUCUACUUUUUCGUGGGGGAUAACGUAGGGAAACUUACGCUAAUACCGCAUACGACCUACGGGUGAAAGCAGGGGACCUUCGGGCCUUGCGCGAUUGAAUGAGCCGAUGUCGGAUUAGCUAGUUGGCGGGGUAAAGGCCCACCAAGGCGACGAUCCGUAGCUGGUCUGAGAGGAUGAUCAGCCACACUGGAACUGAGACACGGUCCAGACUCCUACGGGAGGCAGCAGUGGGGAAUAUUGGACAAUGGGCGCAAGCCUGAUCCAGCCAUACCGCGUGGGUGAAGAAGGCCUUCGGGUUGUAAAGCCCUUUUGUUGGGAAAGAAAUCCAGCUGGCUAAUACCCGGUUGGGAUGACGGUACCCAAAGAAUAAGCACCGGCUAACUUCGUGCCAGCAGCCGCAGUAA
rnacentral:rRNA from 1 species